GUCUUCUGUUUAAUCGCAUAUUCAGCUGAAUUCUGUUCUAUGUAUGGGCUAGAAUGAUCAACACUGCAAAUAAGCCAUGCUUCAUGGAAGAACUCUGCCGCGAGUGUCCUGUCAGCUGUAUCAUUUACACAGGUAAACGACAGCACAUAUGUAUCAACGCUACUCUACGGAUCUCUGCAACUAACUACAUUACCAGGAUACAAUAGAUGCAGCCAAAAUGAACUUCCUUCAUAACCGUGAAAACCGCUUCCGACUUGGAUGCUAGUUCAACUCCUGCUCGUAGGGCAACCUAAUUCUGAGGAAGUUAGUCGAAGUCAUCGCGUAUUCUGACAACUCACUGAUCCUAGGAUGGGUCGAACAGGUCCGAGGUGGAACAGACUCUAAGCCAGCUACACGCAGCAACCAGAGAGUCGGCACUGAUCAAGGUGGAAGUUAGGACAGCAGCCAUUGACACUUUGCACCAAACCUGUUCAAUCUCGACAUCGCUCCGAUCACAAUGUUUGAGAAGAUCUGAAGGUGGUGAACCUCGAAAUAAAUCGCGUCAACGCCUCCUUCUAUAGAAGAGCACUAGAAUUAGACAUAAGGCUUCAUGAUCACUUCGUGUACCUUUUGUCUGAGGACUUGCACUACCGCUUCAAGCACACAGUAACAGAGGGCUUUAAAACCAACCUUAGACACUGGGAUCGAAAACUGGCAAAGACGGAUAGGGACGUUGAUGACAAUCAAUUCGAGUGCGAUAAGGAACAGCAAAUGGGAUUAAACCGAUAUGUCACGACUCACCUUGAGAAGCAUAGAUUACAUCAUAGGCUUUGUACGGAACAGGGCUUCUCCGAACAUAAUCACGGACGCAGGCA